GGAUGAGCCCGCGGCCUAUCAGCUAGUUGGUGAGGUAACGGCCCACCAAGGCUAAGACGGGUAGCUGGUCUGAGAGGAUGGUCAGCCACACUGGGACUGAGACACGGCCCAGAGUCCUACGGGAUGCAGCAGUCAGGAAUAUUGCGCAAUGGAGGAAACUCUGACGCAGCGACGCCGCGUGGGUGAUGAAGGCCUUCGGGUCGUAAAGCCCUGUCGGAGGGGAAGAAAAGCUUGCUGGCUAAUAUCCAGCAGGCCUUUGACGGUACCCUCAAAGGAAGCACCGGCUAACUACGUGCCAGCAGCCGCGGCCG
rnacentral:rRNA from 1 species